ACCAGAAAAUAGUUUAAUUA
rnacentral:tRNA from 1 species